GGUAAGGAAAAUGGAGAGGAGGGAGGUGAAGUAACCUGUCCAAUGGGACCAACUAGAAGGGUCCAAGUGCUGGGGAUCGUGUAUGCUGUGCAAGUGUUGUAUCACUGAGCUAUAUCCCAGACACAUCAUCGUUCUUGAACAUGUUUUCCUUGAGCUUUGUAUUUUGAUUUCACAGAAUUUUAGAAACUGCCCUAAUUUGGGCUAAUGAAGAUUUUGAAAACACUGCUGCUUUUUAGUGACUCUAUUACCUUUUCUGGAACUCGCAGACACUACUAGAGAAUAAUAUUCCUAAAUGUGAGGCUACUUUCUAUAAAUUUCUUUUCCUGAGAUUUUGGUCUUUUAAUUAUUGACUCCUUGUAAUCUUUAUUAUGCUUUCAGAAAAUGAUUUUUAUAUUAUUUACAUAUGUCUUAAAAAAUGUUCUAAGUGGACUUGCAAACACCCCAAGUGGCCAUCAGCUGGAAAAUGGAUAAAGAAGAUGUGGGUUUUUUUUUUUUA